rnacentral:rRNA from 1 species
AGAGUUUGAUCCUGGCUCAGGAUGAACGCUAGCUACAGGCUUAACACAUGCAAGUCGAGGGGCAGCGGGAUUGAAGCUUGCUUCAAUUGCCGGCGACCGGCGCACGGGUGAGUAACGCGUAUCCAACCUUCCGUACACUCAGGGAUAGCCUUUCGAAAGAAAGAUUAAUACCUGAUGGUAUGAUGAGAUUGCAUGAUAGCAUCAUUAAAGAUUUAUCGGUGUACGAUGGGGAUGCGUUCCAUUAGGUAGUAGGCGGGGUAACGGCCCACCUAGCCGACGAUGGAUAGGGGUUCUGAGAGGAAGGUCCCCCACAUUGGAACUGAGACACGGUCCAAACUCCUACGGGAGGCAGCAGUGAGGAAUAUUGGUCAAUGGACGAGAGUCUGAACCAGCCAAGUAGCGUGAAGGAUGAAGGUCCUACGGAUUGUAAACUUCUUUUAUAAGGGAAUAAACCCUCCCACGUGUGGGAGCUUGUAUGUACCUUAUGAAUAAGCAUCGGCUAACUCCGUGCCAGCAGCCGCGGUAAUACGGAGGAUGCGAGCGUUAUCCGGAUUUAUUGGGUUUAAAGGGAGCGCAGACGGGAGAUUAAGUCAGUUGUGAAAGUUUGCGGCUCAACCGUAAAAUUGCAGUUGAUACUGGGUGUCUUGAGUACAGUAGAGGCAGGCGGAAUUCGUGGUGUAGCGGUGAAAUGCUUAGAUAUCACGAAGAACUCCGAUUGCGAAGGCAGCCUGCUAAGCUGCAACUGACAUUGAGGCUCGAAAGUGUGGGUAUCAAACAGGAUUAGAUACCCUGGUAGUCCACACGGUAAACGAUGGAUACUCGCUGUUGGCGAUAUACUGUCAGCGGCUUAGCGAAAGCGUUAAGUAUCCCACCUGGGGAGUACGCCGGCAACGGUGAAACUCAAAGGAAUUGACGGGGGCCCG